ensembl:lncRNA
GCAAUAGGACUGCAGGAAAAAGUUAUCACAGUUCAUUCAUUUAUUCAUUUAACAGGCACUUAUUAAGCCCUGAGAAGCAGCAGAGAUGAAAAGGUGAGCCCUGCCCUGUAGGAGUUCCCAGGUCUGCCAAAAGGGGUGCGUAAGGAGUCGGCCUACAUGCUGCAGUGUGGGAGUGGGGCCCCUGUGCAGCCCAGGGGAGCAUGAACAAAGGCGCCGGAUCCAGUGUGGAGGGAGGAAGGAGGGCUUCCUGGAGGAAGUGAUACCCAAACCGAUAGGAAUGUGCAAGUAACCCCUGUCCUCAUCUGGGAAACUAACUUGGCUCUCAGAGUGUUCAUGCCAGAUUCUCUCCUCCUGGGACGUGCCUGGUGCACACACCUGAACUGGGAAAAGAGAUGCUCGCGAUUCGUUUUGGGAACCGAUUCAAGCAAAAGCCAGGAGCAAGGCCUAGAGCUGAAAGAAGGUUAAGGCUCAGGACUCGGGAUGAGGGCUCCGUGAUAAUAUGUCGUCAGCUGGAUGGCUGCAGGGACUGAGGACCCAACAGGUGCCCACACUCAUCCCGUGAGAUGGUACCUCUACGGGAAUUUUCUUCAUAUUUGAACAUUACCUGCAGAUUCCAGGGGGUUUCCACAGGAUGGGACCUGGGUUGGACCCCCAGUGGCUCCUGGUGUAAUGAGGAAGGACCCCUACACCUCUCUUCACCACCUCCGCACACUUUGGCCAAACGUGAUGGAUCCCUUGUCGGCAAUUCCUCGUCUCCUUUUACAGAGUUUGGAGCAGGAGCCCUGAUGCCAGGCAGGGACUCAGUCUGCCAUGUUCACAGCUGUAUCCUCAGCAUCUAGUACAGUCCUGAGCACGUGAUAUGAAUUGCAAUUCAAACACUGGAAGAAGAGAAUGAGUCUCAAGGGGAGAAAACCUUAAAAUCUUCCACCACAGUCCCAUUACAGUACCCUUAAAAUAAAACCAAAACACCCAGCCUUGGCCUGUCUGAUCAGCCCUAAAUCUUAUUGCCCUUGGUCACUAAGGUCUCUGUCACAUUGGCCAGCUUUCUGCUCUUCAAACAAGUCAAGCGUGUGCCCUCCUGCUAGGCUCUGUACGGGAAAUACUCUCCCCCGAGGUUUUCUCCUGGCUGGAUAGCUUCUCACUGUUGAGGUCUCGGCUUAAACGUCACUCCUUGUUGAGGCCUUCCUCAAACACCCAGUCUAAAGAACCCCCCCUCCGUCCCCACUCCCACCCUAUCUGGCUGAUCAUUUUCUCUCUAUCCCCUUCACCUGUUUUAUUUUCUUCGUAGUACUUAUCACCAGCAGAAAUACUCAUUCAUGUUUACUUGCUUGUUUCCUUAUUUCAUCUUCUCACUUGAGACUAUAAAACCCAUGAGAGAGAUCGGAGAUGUGGGCAGCAUAUAGAAGGAGUGUAAUUCAUAUUUAUUAAAUGACAACUCGACAAAUUGCAAAUCUUUGCCAAGCACUGGCCAACACCACGUGAAGUGAGGAAAGGACCCUCAAUCUCCAGGCACCUGAUCCAUGCAGGAUAAGAUAUCCGGGCCCCAGAGCUUCUGCAUCAAAGGCUCUCUGCUAACACCCAGUUGCCCCUAAAGACUCCCAAAGGCCCCCUCGCAAAUCUGAGCGAGCAAACUGGGAGCUUUGCACAUGAGGCAGACGACUGUGAAAUCAAACCGAGAGACGCUUUGGCAGCACUGAGGAUGCGGGAAAUCUGUGAGGCUGCUCCCAAGCUUCCUGGGGAAGAAAGAGUUGGUACCAGGCCUAGUUGUCAACAGGGAGGGUGGUUGCUGUUCCAGUUCUAUAGUCUGGGAUGUAGCAUAAGAUUUCACGUGGAAAAAAAACCGUUCCUUGGGUUUAAAAAACCUAGUUUUGGAAACUGUUCCUUUAGAGAAUUUCUCCUCCUUGUGCACAGAGUGAAAGUGCUAGAGGAGAAGAAAGUCUUUACUGAAGUCUUUCUCAAUAUUCAGAAUAGAAAUGGUAAAUGUUGUCCUUUCCAGGUAGAAACUUGAAACUUCAAGGCUGGGCACCCUGCCCGCAGGCCCAGGGAGCUGAACGUGUUUGCCCCUCCAUGCUGCCUUCUCUCCUCACAAGGCGGUAGUAGUGCUCAUGGCCCACUCCACGCAAAACACGUUCGAAACCUAGGGCACUCAAACAUGCGGCUGACGUGGGUCAUUUUUUCCAACAGGAAGAGAAACCAGGAAAAUAAUCUCCCUAAAAAUAACUCAAUCAAUGGGCACCCUACGCCCAAACCCCGCCAGGUGCCCACACCUCCUCCGUGUAAGGGAACGGCAUCCUUGCUGGCAGCUGAUGAUGCCCGCCAGCACGCCAGAAGGCUUUGGUAUAGGUCUUCUCACAGCCAUCGGAAUGAUUUGGAAUGUUUAGCUGAAAACAAACUCCUUCCUCUCAUUCCAGCGUCAUGCCUUUAAACUCUCAAGGUGCCACUUCCCCUCCUGCUGGGUGGAGAGUGGCAGGGGGUUUUGCAGCAAAGCAUAGGCCCAGCAGCACAGCGCAGCCGCCCCCACACCUCUGCGUUGUGACUGCCACCUCACUGCUGCUAGGCAAGGGAUAAUUGGCGGUGUUGGAACGCGGCCAAGAUUCGGCAGCAUACAGAGCAGGCAUCUAAACACAUGGCACUGGGCCAGCAUUUGAGCUCUGACCGUGGGGUAGGUGCCAAGGUCACCACACAGCUCAGUGUGACCUCAGAGGUCAGGAUGCCCUGAGUGCGCCCUGGCUCCUGCUUGUUCAUCUUCCAUGCCACACUUGCUACAUGCUAUCAGCUUCCUAGGGCCACAACAGGAAGGUGUUAGGUGACAUCUGAGUCCUGCAAGGUAUGCAGGUGGUGACUGCACACCACCCACAAGUUGGCUGCUGACAAUCGCAAGUAUAUUUAGGGAAGGAGAU